AAGAGGAAUGCAGCAGUGGAAGGGAACAUGUUGUGACAGCAUCAUGCCUUCUACAUUAAAGACCUAAAGAACCACGAACCUCUUAUAGAAGAUGCAUCUCCUUCAUCUAAGGAAUUAAGAGCAUCUGAAUAUCAGAGAAAGUACCCAGGACUCUACAGAAUAGUCACUGCCAGUUUUAUCAUGCAGUGCAACUCUUUGUUUUCCCGGUAGUAAACCAAGUUGAGAGACCCCGUGCUAAUAAAGAGGGAUCGUCAAAUUACAGAAGUUCUGAAAAGGACCCCAUAGCGUUUGCCAUAACGGAGAGCUGAUGGAAGGAUUCACAGGACUGGAAUACUGAUAGGAAAGGGCACAGCUUGUUCAGAAAGGACACGCAGGGGGGAGAAAAGUGUGCGUCAAAAAUGUAGAUCUGCUCUGAGAGCCAGAAACGACAGGCAGACAGAGCUUUUGAAAAUCUCUGUGUGACAAAUAAAGGCAA